CUACGUGCCAGCAGCCGCGGUAAUACGUAGGUGGCAAGCGUUGUCCGGAAUUAUUGGGCGUAAAGCGCGCGCAGGCGGAUUGGUCAGUCUGUCUUAAAAGUUCGGGGCUUAACCCCGUGAUGGGAUGGAAACUGCCAAUCUAGAGUAUCGGAGAGGAAAGUGGAAUUCCUAGUGUAGCGGUGAAAUGCGUAGAUAUUAGGAAGAACACCAGUGGCGAAGGCGACUUUCUGGACGAAAACUGACGCUGAGGCGCGAAAGCCAGGGGAGCGAACGGGAUUAGAUACCCCGGUAGUCCUGGCCGUAAACGAUGGGUACUAGGUGUAGGAGGUAUCGACCCCUUCUGUGCCGGAGUUAACGCAAUAAGUACCCCGCCUGGGGAGUACGACCGCAAGGUUGAAACUCAAAGGAAUUGACGGGGGCCCGCACAAGCGGUGGAGUAUGUGGUUUAAUUCGACGCAACGCGAAGAACCUUGCCAGGUCUUGACAU
rnacentral:rRNA from 1 species